GUGACUCGAGAUCUCACCUUCCUGAUUCCAUCCCCCACCCUUUUUGUACCAAUGUAGGAGCAUCCUUCCGUGAGGCUCCCAACGCUCCCACGUCGUUGGACGGCCAUUUGAUUUCAGUUGGAUUUCAUUGAUUUGCUGUGAAGGUACCGAUGAUUUGUGCAGAGCCCCUAAUUGGACAGCGCGGCCAUGUAGUUGCCGGAGUUUGGGGCUUGCUGCAGCAGCACGCUGUCCAUUUCGUUGGCAUAACCCAUACACCUACCGCACGGUGACUGGGGCUGCCUCCAUCUACUGUGGCAGGUGUGCAGUGGCACAGGGACAUGAGGCGAGGAUGCUGUCGCCAAGUAUCCAGGGGGUUACCAGUUGCCACCACUGCUGCCAUAGCUGAAGACGAUGGCCGCGAACUAGGCUGCUUCGAGGUGAGGAUACCGUGCGACUAUAUCUUCUCUCCUUGUCCGUAUAAGGUGGAGUAGGAGGUAGCAUAUCUGGUUAUCGCAGUACUUGGUUGCAUGUCAAGUGCUCGAGCAAAUGCCCGAUUUAACAGCACCCAAUUCAGUUUUGCUGAAAUUUAACAGCAGAAGCUGCCUGGAUGUAGUCACUGUUUGUGUUCGUUGUCUGUUGGCAAAUAAAUAUGGAAAGGCGCAGAUAAUAACAAGGGUAUGCCACAUGUUUACCUUGUGUGCGCAGGCUGUGGCCGAGGAGAAGUUUAAGCUCUGCGUGAAUGUGUGCAAUUCGCUCUGUAGCGUCCUCAAGGCUGUUUCUUUGUAUUAUCGGUUUUGCAAAUGUUGCAACUUGUCUUAUCGGUUUUGCAAUGUGCAGGCUGUUGCUUUGUUUCAGUUUUAAUUUGAGAUACACACAUUUGAGCCAAGAGGCAAGUUCGGACAUGGAAGGAUGGAGCCACUGUUGUACACUAGUUUCAAAUGUAACAACAGUUGAUUUCUUCAUUUGUUUUAUCAAUUCAGUUUUUUCAGAAAGAGGGAAUAAAAGCAACUUGUCAAA